GUUCCUGCAGAGGAAAAGAAAUUAAGUGAAAACUAGUGAAAACUAGUUUCUCACCCGCCUGCUCUGUUACGUAAUCACACAAAUUCACUGUGGCAAUUCAUUAAAAAGUUUUCGUUUUUAAAGUUAAGGGCAGAUUUCAUUAAAAUUAAUGCUGUAUGUUCCAUAUAAGCCAUAUUUAAUUUUUGAGGCUGCUAAACAAGUGCUAUAGGGGUAAAAAGUCAAAUCCACAUAUAGAUUAGAUAGAUUUUUUUUUUUUUUACAUAAAUGCAAUAUGUUUGGGAAUAAGGUGUGCUUAGGUGGAGAUUUUGAGAAAACAUAAUAAUCAUGUCUCUCUCUCUCUCAUUGUCGUUUGUUUUCUGUCAGUGGAUUGCUACAGUAAGGGGUGGGGGGUGGAAUUAUGGCAUGAAGUUCUAUCUAUCUGGAAAUGCUUUCUGGCAAUUAUAAAAUAAAAAGAAAGGAAAAAAACAUUUAAUAAUGAUAAUUACCAAUAAACAAAGAAGAAGAAGAAAAUCUCACUUGGUUUCAAGGCAUUCUGUACUUAAUUUGAGAGAUAGGGAACAUGGAAAGAGAGGGGGUAUGACAUGCAACAGGGGUCCCCUGGUGUAUUAUGAGGUAAAAUUUAUACAUGAAGUAGCUUAACGUAAUAAUGUGCAUUUUAGAUUAGUGCAACACAAAGUGCUUUUAAAAGUGUUUAAUGAUCCUGCAGGACAUAAAAUGUUUCCUAUUCGUAAGACAUUCUAACUUAUUGGCUUUUCAACUUAGCCCAAACACAAAGUGUACAUGAAUCUUGGAUGCAGCAACAUAUUCAAGGGUGUUUGCGUUUGGCCCUAUGUUAGUGUCGAUUGUCAUACUUGUCAAAAAUACGGAAGCAUUCUGAGAGUUCCUCUUCGCUCUUUCCAGUCUGGUCCUCCUUUAACUGUUGCACCAUCAUGACCAGGAACUCUUCGAAGUCGAUGGUACCACUGCCUGAGGAAAGGGGAGAUCACCUCGAGUUUUGAAAUAUUUUUAAGCUGUACUUCACAGCCAAUAUGGGCAGCCAAUACAUUACGGUCACGCAAAACACAGCUUCCCCUUUGUAUUCAAUGAAGGCCAGACAAUGAUCUCACCAUCCUCAUCGACCUCCUCAAUGAUGGCAUCCAACUCCUCCCUUGACGGGUUCUGGCCCAGCAUCCUCAUUACCUGACCCAACUCCUUGGUGCUGAUGUCACCGCCACCAUCUGUGUCAAACAUGUCGAAGGCAGCCUUGAACUCUGGGUAAGGGGAGGAAGUUGUUUCAGUUCAUAAAGUAUCAGUCUUAUCUAGCAAAACAAUGACAAAUACAACAAACUAUGACUCUUUUGCUCAAAUGUCACAUUUUGGAAGUACAAAAUGUCUUAUUAAAUGACCUGAAAAGGGCAAAAAUGGGCUCUAGUUACAACAGUAUAUAAAUAAAAUAAUAAAAUAAAACUCAAAAAUGUC